rnacentral:rRNA from 1 species
GACGAACGCUGGCGGCGUGCUUAACACAUGCAAGUCGAACGGUGACGAGGAGCUUGCUCCUCUGAUCAGUGGCGAACGGGUGAGUAACACGUGAGCAACCUGCCCCAGACUCUGGGAUAACAGUUGGAAACAGCUGCUAAUACCGGAUACGAGACGGAGAGGCAUCUCUACCGUCUGGAAAGUUUUUCGGUCUGGGAUGGACUCGCGGCCUAUCAGCUAGUUGGUGAGGUAAUGGCUCACCAAGGCGACGACGGGUAGCCGGCCUGAGAGGGCGACCGGCCACACUGGGACUGAGACACGGCCCAGACUCCUACGGGAGGCAGCAGUGGGGAAUAUUGCACAAUGGGCGAAAGCCUGAUGCAGCGACGCCGCGUGAGGGAUGACGGCCUCGGUUGUAACCGUACUUUCUAGCAGGAAGGAAGACGAAAGUAGACGGUACCUGCAGAAGAAGACACCGGCGUAACUACGUAGCCACGCAGCCGCCGGUAGU